GAUAAACGCUGGCGGCGUGCCUAAUACAUGCAAGUCGAGCGAACGGACGAGAAGCUUGCUUCUCUGAUGUUAGCGGCGGACGGGUGAGUAACACGUGGAUAACCUACCUAUAAGACUGGGAUAACUUCGGGAAACCGGGGCUAAUACCGGAUAAUAUUUUGAACCGCAUGGUUCAAAAGUGAAAGACGGUCUUGCUGUCACUUAUAGAUGGAUCCGCGCUGCAUUAGCUAGUUGGUAAGGUAACGGCUUACCAAGGCAACGAUGCAUAGCCGACCUGAGAGGGUGAUCGGCCACACUGGAACUGAGACACGGUCCAGACUCCUACGGGAGGCAGCAGUAGGGAAUCUUCCGCAAUGGGCGAAAGCCUGACGGAGCAACGCCGCGUGAGUGAUGAAGGUCUUCGGAUCGUAAAACUCUGUUAUUAGGGAAGAACAUAUGUGUAAGUAACUGUGCACAUCUUGACGGUACCUAAUCAGAAAGCCACGGCUAACUACGUGCCAGCAGCCGCGGUAAUACGUAGGUGGCAAGCGUUAUCCGGAAUUAUUGGGCGUAAAGCGCGCGUAGGCGGUUUUUUAAGUCUGAUGUGAAAGCCCACGGUUCAACCGUGGAGGGUCAUUGGAAACUGGAAAACUUGAGUGCAGAAGAGGAAAGUGGAAUUCCAUGUGUAGCGGUGAAAUGCGCAGAGAUAUGGAGGAACACCAGUGGCGAAGGCGACUUUCUGGUCUGUAACUGACGCUGAUGUGCGAAAGCGUGGGGAUCAAACAGGAUUAGAUACCCUGGUAGUCCACGCCGUAAACGAUGAGUGCUAAGUGUUAGGGGGUUUCCGCCCCUUAGUGCUGCAGCUAACGCAUUAAGCACUCCGCCUGGGGAGUACGACCGCAAGGUUGAAACUCAAAGGAAUUGACGGGGACCCGCACAAGCGGUGGAGCAUGUGGUUUAAUUCGAAGCAACGCGAAGAACCUUACCAAAUCUUGACAUCCUUUGACAACUCUAGAGAUAGAGCCUUCCCCUUCGGGGGACAAAGUGACAGGUGGUGCAUGGUUGUCGUCAGCUCGUGUCGUGAGAUGUUGGGUUAAGUCCCGCAACGAGCGCAACCCUUAAGCUUAGUUGCCAUCAUUAAGUUGGGCACUCUAAGUUGACUGCCGGUGACAAACCGGAGGAAGGUGGGGAUGACGUCAAAUCAUCAUGCCCCUUAUGAUUUGGGCUACACACGUGCUACAAUGGACAAUACAAAGGGCAGCGAAACCGCGAGGUCAAGCAAAUCCCAUAAAGUUGUUCUCAGUUCGGAUUGUAGUCUGCAACUCGACUACAUGAAGCUGGAAUCGCUAGUAAUCGUAGAUCAGCAUGCUACGGUGAAUACGAUCCCGGGUCU
rnacentral:rRNA from 1 species